AACUCCCAGCCAGAGUUUGUGUGGCUCUUCGCAAGUGCUCCGGCUGAUUUGUGACACCUACGAGACUUAAGUGUAUCGAGACGAAUAUAUUGACAGUUAUGCCCCAUACCAACUGGAUGCUGGGGAAGCUUUUCAGAGGCAACGAUUGACCAAGUAUAGAUAGGUCCCACUGCCUAUGCGUAAUAACCCUCAGCUGGAAUAUGUGACGUGGACCUAUUUACGUCCAGGGGCAUAAAGUCGCGUUAUGUAAAUUGAGAAUGUUGUUUGAUAAGCACAAGCAGCCAAAUAUGAAAUUGUCUCUGUUUUGAUGUUAAUUCACAUAUGAUAAGACUGCAUUUCCUCACCAUUCGGGCAGACAAGCAUGAGACUAAAUCUAUAAGCAGGCAUGAUGCACACCUAUUUUUGGAUGGUUACGCUUCCAACUGCCUCAUCCUAGAGGGUAUUGGAAGACAUCUGCGAUUCCAUGAAAUACAAAUACCUAUAUAUAUAUAUAUAUAUAUAGAUGUAAAAAAUCUCAUAACUCAUCAGUCUGAUUUUACAAGUUGGUAAAUUGAAUAAAUAUUUUUCUGUUUGACUUUAAAAAUCAA